GAUGAACGCUGGCGGCGUGCCUAAUACAUGCAAGUCGAGCGAACAGACGAGGAGCUUGCUCCUCUGACGUUAGCGGCGGACGGGUGAGUAACACGUGGAUAACCUACCUAUAAGACUGGGAUAACUUCGGGAAACCGGAGCUAAUACCGGAUAAUAUAUUGAACCGCAUGGUUCAAUAGUGAAAGACGGUUUUGCUGUCACUUAUAGAUGGAUCCGCGCCGCAUUAGCUAGUUGGUAAGGUAACGGCUUACCAAGGCAACGAUGCGUAGCCGACCUGAGAGGGUGAUCGGCCACAUUGGAACUGAGACACGGUCCAGACUCCUAAGGGAGGCAGCAGUAGGGAAUCUUCCGCAAAGGGCGAAAGCCUGACGGAGCAACGCCGCGUGAGUGAUGAAGGUCUUCGGAUCGUAAAACUCUGUUAUUAGGGAAGAACAAAUGUGUAAGUAACUAUGCACGUCUUGACGGUACCUAAUCAGAAAGCCACGGCUAACUACGUG
rnacentral:rRNA from 1 species